rfam:Aedes albopictus isolate Foshan contig142494, whole genome shotgun sequence.
GGUUCUGUGGCUUAGUUGGUUAAAGCACCGGUCUAGCGAGUACGGGGUCGUGCGUUCGAAUCCCACCAGAACGC